CUGGUAUCAACAGUGUUCAGGUUGGUGUUCAGGUUGGAAGACAGUACAGAUAUAAACUGGUAUCAACAGUGUUCAGGUUGGUGUUCAGGUUGGAAGACAGUACAGAUAUAAACUGGUAUCAACAGUGUUCAGGUUGGUGUUCAGGUUGGAAGACAGUACAGAUAUAACCUGGUAUCAACAGUGUUCAGGUUGGUGUUCAGGUUGGAAGACAGUUCAGAUAUAAACUGGUAUCAACAGUGUUCAGGUUGGAAGACAGUACAGAUAUAAACUGGUAUCAACAGUGUUCAGGUUGGUGUUCAGGUUGGAAGACAGUACAGAUAUAACCUGGUAUCAACAGUGUUCAGGUUGGUGUUCAGGUUGGAAGACAGUACAGAUAUAAACUGGUAUCAGUGUUCAGGUUGGAAGACAGAACAGAUAUAACCUGGUAUCAGCAGUGUUCAGGUUGGAAGACAGUACAGAUAUAACCUGGUAUCAGUGUUCAGGUUGGAAGACAGUACAGAUAUAAACUGGUAUCAGUGUUCAGGUUGGAAGACAGAACAGAUAUAACCUGGUAUCAACAGUGUUCAGGUUGGUGUUCAGGUUGGAAGACAGUACAGAUAUAACCUGGUAUCAGUGUUCAGGUUGGAAGACAGUACAGAUAUAACCUGGUAUCAACAGUGUUCAGGUUGGAAGACAGAACAGAUAUAACCUGGUAUCAACAGUGUUCAGGUUGGAAGACAGUACAGAUAUAACCUGGUAUCAGUGUUCAGGUUGGAAGACAGUACAGAUAUAAACUGGUAUCAGUGUUCAGGUUGGAAGACAGUACAGAUAUAAACUGGUAUCAGUGUUCAGGUUGGAAGACAGAACAGAUAUAACCUGGUAUCAACAGUGUUCAGGUUGGUGUUCAGGUUGGAAGACAGUACAGAUAUAACCUGGUAUCAGUGUUCAGGUUGGAAGACAGAACAGAUAUAACCUGGUAUCAACAGUGUUCAGGUUGGUGUUCAGGUUGGA